UAGAAUUCCAGGUGUAGCGGUGAAAAUGCGUAGAGAUCUGGAGGAAUACCGGUGGCGAAGGCGGCCCCCCUGGACAAAGACUGACGCUCAGGUGCGAAAGCGUGGGGAGCAAACAGGAUUAGAUACCCUGGUAGUUCACCCCGUAAACGAUGUCGACUUGGAGGUUGUGCCCUUGAGGCGUGGCUUCCGGAGCUAUCGGGUUAAGUCGACCGCCUGGGGAGUACGGCCGCAAGGUUAAAACUCAAAUGAAUUGACGGGGGCCCGCACAAGCGGUGGAGCAUGUGGUUUAAUUCGAUGCAACGCGAAGAACCUUACCUACUCUUGACAUCCAGAGAACUUAGCAGAGAUGGUUUGGUGCCUUCGCGAACUCUGAGACAGGUGUUGCAUGGCUGUCGUCAGCUCGUGUUGUGAAAUGUUGGGUUAAGUCCCGCAACGAGCGCAACCCUUAUCCUUUGUUGCCACCGGUUAGGCCGGGAACUCAAAGGAGGCUGCCAGUGAUAAACUGGAGGAAGGUGGGGAUGACGUCAAGUCAUCAUCACCCCUCCGAGUACGGCCACCCAUGAGCGACAAAGCCCAUAAAAAGAAAACCGACCUCGCGAGAGCAAGCCGACCUCAUAAAGUGCGUCGUAGUCCGGAUUGGAGUCCGCACUCGACUCCAUGAAGUCGGAAUCGCUAGUAAUCGUG
rnacentral:rRNA from 1 species